AUUGAACGCUGGCGGCAGGCUUAACACAUGCAAGUCGAGCGGAGUGAUGGUGCUUGCACUAUCACUUAGCGGCGGACGGGUGAGUAAUGAUUAGGAAUCUGCCUAUUAGUGGGGGACAACAUCUCGAAAGGGACGCUAAUACCGCAUAAGUCCUACGGGCGAAAGCAGGGGCUCACUUGUGACCUUGCGCUAAUAGAUGAGCUUAAGGCGGAUUAGCUAGUUGGUGGGGUAAAGGCCUACCAAGGCGACGAUCUGUAGCGGGUCUGUGAGGAUGAUCCGCCACACUGGGACUGAGACACGGCCCAGACUCCUGCGGGAGGCAGCAGUGGGGAAUAUUGGACAAUGGGGGGAACCCUGAUCCAGCCAUGCCGCGUGUGUGAAGAAGGCCUUAUGGUUGUAAAGCACUUUAAGCGAGGAGGAGGCUCUUUUGGUUAAUACCCAAGAUGAGUGGACGUUACUCGCAGAAUAAGCACCGGCUAACUCUGUGCCAGCCGCCGCAGUAA
rnacentral:rRNA from 1 species